CCUUUUUUUUUUUUGAGAAAGAAAGAUAGCAUGUUACUCAUUUCAUUUAUUUUCAUUUAGAAAUAAACAUAACUGAAAAUGUGAAUCAAAUAUGAUUCAAACUUAGAACCUUCGAUAUCAACCACCAAACCCUUUGUCACUUGCGCUAGGCAUGGUUGGUAGCUCAAUUCCAUUAUUAACUUAAGAGAAAACUUCAAAUAUUGCCCCUAUGGUUUCACACUUUCUCACUUUAGUAUCCCAUGCUUUAAAAUGUAUCAAUUUAAUGCCCUUUGGUUUUAUUUUUAUUUUUUUAUUAUAGAUUCCACUAAUUUUUUUUAUUAAAUCAAUGACAAAGUUAAAACUAAAAAGUACUAAAGUAAAUAUUCGAUAAACCUAGAUAGGGUAUUUAAAGUUUUUUGUAUAUAAUUUAACUAAAUAUUAACGAAAAAACUGACGAAAAUAUAAAAAUAAAAUCACAGGACACUAACUUGAUACACUUUAAAUCACAAAACAGUAAAGUGAGAAAGUUCAAAAUUACAGGUGUGUCAU
rnacentral:lncRNA from 1 species